GGGGAUAUAGCUCAGUGGUAGAUUGCUUGCCUAGCAUGCAUGAGGCCCUGGGUUCAAUCCUCAGUACUACUU
rnacentral:tRNA from 1 species